GCACUAUAUUUUGAACCGAUGAAAUGCCUCGACCGUGGCUUCAUGGGCCAGUAAUGUGCAAAAUCAAUACUUGUUCAUAACUGGGGCUUCUCGGCAUCCUUCCUGACCUGCUCUUUUAAAAGCAAGUUACAUUC